rnacentral:rRNA from 1 species
UGGGGAAUCUUGCGCAAUGGGCGAAAGCCUGACGCAGCCAUGCCGCGUGAAUGAUGAAGGUCUUAGGAUUGUAAAAUUCUUUCACCGGGGACGAUAAUGACGGUACCCGGAGAAGAAGCCCCGGCUAACUACGUGCCAGCAGCCGCGGUAAUACGUAGGGUGCAAGCGUUAAUCGGAAUUACUGGGCGUAAAGCGUGCGCAGGCGGUUAUGCAAGACAGAGGUGAAAUCCCCGGGCUCAACCUGGGAACUGCCUUUGAUACUGGGUGUCUUGAGUGUGAGAGAGGUAUGUGGAACUCCGAGUGUAGAGGUGAAAUUCGUAGAUAUUCGGAAGAACACCAGUGGCGAAGGCGACAUACUGGCUCAUUACUGACGCUGAGGCUCGAAAGCGUGGGGAGCAAACA